rnacentral:lncRNA from 1 species
CCACCACUCACCACCUGAGCCACAAGCACUGCACUGCCCAGGAAUGUCCAGCUGGGAAAAUCAGCAGCAGCAAGCUAGCUAAUUCUCCAACAGAAAGAUGAAGUAUUGAGAAAUGGAUGAAUUGACGCAGUGACCAAAAUCAAACUACUUUUGCAAAUAAUAGUUUAAUUAAUUCACUAAUAAUAAGGCUUGUGACGAUGUGCCCGGAGAUGCAUGGAAUAAGCAAGCUAGUUAAGCAGAUAGCUAUGUGACCUGUUAGCAAAGAUUACGAUAACUUACCCUUUCAUAUGUGGUGUUAGCUAGCUAGCUAUAUUAGCUACUAUGCUAGCUAGCUGGCUAGAUAAACAUGGUGUUAAGAUAUCAGAUAGGAGCUAAUAGCCAACGUAGUUAGCUAACGUUACCUGGUUAUCAUUUUGAACAUGCACCAUGUUUAGCAAUACUAUAUGAUAUGAGCGAUGGAGACAGAUGUGAGGAGAUGUGAAAGGGAGCGUAGUUAAAGCCUUGCUCUAUCCAAUCGUAGCAGUAGGAUGAAGUCAGUUAUUAGUUAUUAGGCUAUUAUUAGUUAUUAGGCCAUUAGAGUUAUUAGGCUAUUAGAGUUAUUAGGCUAUUAUAGCUAUUAGAGUUAUUAGGCUAUUAGAGUUAUUAGGCUAUUAUUAGUUAUUAGGCUAUUAUAGCUAUUAGAGUUAUUAGGCUAUUAGAGUUAUUAGGCUAUUAUUAUUAUUAGGCUAUUAUUAGUUAUUAGGCUAUUAUUAGUUAUUAGGCUAUUAGAGUUAUUAGGCUAUUAUUAGUUAUUAGGCUAUUAUAGCUAUUAGAGUUAUUAGGCUAUUAGAGUUAUUAGGCUAUUAUUAGUUAUUAGGCUAUUAGAGUUAUUAGUUAAUAGGCUAUUAGUUAUUAGGCUAUUAUUAGUUAUUAGGCUAUUCGUUAUUAGUUAUUAGGCUGUUAUUAGUUAUUAGGCUAUUAGCGUUAUUAGUUAAUAGGCUAUUAGUUAUUAGGCUAUUAUUAGUUAUUAGGCUAUUAGUUAUUAGUUAUUAUGCUAUUAUUAGCUAUUAGUUAUUGGGCUAUUAUUAGUUAUUAUGCUAUUAUUAGUUAUUAGUUAUUAGGCUAUUAUUAGAUAUAUUAUUAGAUAUAUUAUUAGGCUAUUAGAUUUAUUAGGCUAUUAUUAGUUAUUAGGCUAUUAAAGUUAUUAGGCUAUUAGAGUUAUUAGGCUAUUAGAUUUAUUAGGCUAUUAUUAGUUAUUAGGCUAUUAUUAGUUAUUAGGCUAUAUUAGUUAUUAGGCUAUUACAUUUAUUAGGAUAUUAUUCGUUAUUAGGCUAUUAUUAUUAUUAGGCUAUAUUAGUUAUUAGGCUAUUACAUUUAUUAGGAUAUUAUUCGUUAUUAGGCUAUUAGAGUUAUUAGGCUAUUAUUAGUUAUUAGGCUAUUAAAGUUAUUAGGCUAUUAGAGUUAUUAGGCUAUUAGAUUUAUUAGGCUAUUAUUAGUUAUUAGGCUAUUAUUAGUUAUUAGGCUAUAUUAGUUAUUAGGCUAUUACAUUUAUUAGGAUAUUAUUCGUUAUUAGGCUAUUACAUUUAUUAGGAUAUUAUUCGUUAUUAGGCUAUAUUACUUAUUAGGCUAUUACAUUUAUUAGGAUAUUAUUCGUUAUUAGGCUAUUACAUUUAUUAGGUUAUUAUUAGUUAUUAUUUAUUAGGCUAUUAUUAGUUAUUAGGCUAUUAUUAGUUAUUAGGCUAUUAUUAGUUAUUAGGCUAUUAUUAGUUAUUAGGCUAUUAUUAGUUAUUAGGCUAUUAUUAGUUAUUAGGCUAUUAUUAGUUAUUAGGCUAUUAUUAGUUAUUGGGUUAUUAGGUAUUGGGCUAUUAUUAGUUAUUGGGCUAGUAUUAGUUAUUAGGCUAUUAGAUUUAUUAGGCUAUUAUUAGUUAUUGGGUUAUUAGAGUUAUUGGUUAUUAGGCUGUUAUUAGUUAUUAGGCUAUUAUUAGUUAUUAGGCUAUUAGUUGGACUGGGCGAUAUGACCAAAAUUUCAUAUCACAAUAUUUGAAAACAUUUUGAUGGUAUAUACAGUAUUUGACAGAAUUGAGUGUUUUUGAAUAAUACAGGUUUUAAAUGUGCUUUAUGAGUUGACCCUUGGGUGGCAUCACAUACAUUCUGGGAUUUCAAUGGUUCUUUCUCCAUUCUGGUUGUUUUCUACUAUUAUGGGCCCAGGUCAACAGUAGUGCACUACAUGGGGAAUAGAGGGACAUUUGGAAUGCAGCCUUAGUUAGGACAGACAUGAGGCUCUGCUGCUGACUCCUAACCCAGUUGGCGUGGCUGGCAGCUAGCUAGUCAACAUCUCCUGGGACACUCCUCUCCUCCUCCCUCCUCUCCUCUCCUCCUGAUAAGAACACGUCUGAGACCUUGGGAAGUCCAGAGGGAGAAGCAUGUUGACAAAACAGGGAGAGAGAUAUGCUUUCCUCUCCACCUCUCCUCCCCUGGCCUCUCCUCUGCCUCUCUUACUCUCCUCCCCUGGCCUCUCCUCUACCUCUCCACCUCUCCUCCCC